rnacentral:rRNA from 1 species
UGGGGGAUAUUGCACAAUGGGCGAAAGCCUGAUGCAGCGACGCCGCGUGGGGGAUGAAGGCCUUCGGGUUGUAAACUUCUUUUGCUCUGAACAAGGCAUGCUAAUGGGUGUGUUGAGUGUAGGGGUUGAUUAGCGCCGGCUAACUACGUGCCAGCAGCCGCGGUAAUACGUAGGGCGCGAGCGUUGUCCGGAAUUAUUGGGCGUAAAGGGCUUGUAGGUGGCUGGUUGCGUCUGUCGUGAAAGCUCAUGGCUUAACUGUGGGUUUGCGGUGGGUCCGGGCUGGCUUGAGUGCAGUAGGGGAGGCUGGAAUUCCUGGUGUAGCGGUGGAAUGCGCAGAUAUCAGGAGGAAUACCGGUGGCGAAGGCGGGUCUCUGGGCUGUUACUGACACUGAGGAGCGAAAGCAUGGGGAGCGAACAGG